UGCUGAUAUGCCGACAUAAGGCCAAAUGCAUAUCUCAAGAGAGAUCCAACAUCACCUGUUUAUAACCUGUCAGCGACAGUUUUCAUCUGAAGGGCAAGGAAGAUGUACACCUUCAUUCCCUUUCACUAUUGCCUUCCUCAUGGGAUGGCUCUGCAUCACCUCCACAAUCCUGCUUAGUUAUUGCAACUUCAAUUUCCCUUAUCUUCCCAUACUAUAAGAGAGAUCAACUAUCUGCAGAUAUACUUCAGUAUCUGAAAAUAACUGGGCUUUUCCUACUGGGUGCAAAUGGCUUCAGGUAACUGGAGCGGGGGCCCUUUUGAGGAUGAGAAGAGGAGAAGAGAAAGGAAGGAGCCAGAUCAUAAAAGGAUAUGAGCACGAGAGUAAGGCAGUUGAAUUUCAGUCUACAGCCAAUAAGGAGUCAAGGCAUGAGGUAAGGAGUGUAGCAUCCACGAUAUGGAGAAAGAAAUUUGAACCAGGUGCCACGGCUCCUAAAGGCAACAAAUUUCCUGACCUCUUGGAUUUCCUUAGCACCCUUCUCCAGCCUCCUUACCACAUUCCCCAACCCUCACACACAUCUAGACAGUCUGCUCCAGUCACAUAGCCUAUCCUUCUUAUUCACUUGGUUCCCUCUAACCUUUUUGCAUUGGUUAUUAAGCUAUCGUCUCUCACAGUCUUCCAUUUUAUGCUUUGUGAUUUUGCAGUUAAAACUCAGCAAACUUGUGGUUUUGUUUUGCCAGCUGUUUCCUAUUAGGUUCUGCCAAUGAAGAAAGAUUGGAAGGCUGGAGGAAGAAGGGAAAUGUUCCCUUCUUUUUGUUUGCUAUUCCCAUCUAUGUCACCUGAGGAGUGAUUCUUAAUCCCUCUCAUACAGCAGCAGUUGGCUCAGUGGUAACGGGUUUACAAUUUUCACUUUGUUUAUUUUACAACCUAAAUAGUCAUAUCAGAGACACUAGCACCAGUCUCCCAAUGCUCAGCUUCUCAGAGGUGUGGACUCAGCUCCUUGGGGUUCCUCUGAAGAAUUUCUGAGCUACUAGCAUCAACAGGACAGCACUUCUUAGAAGCUGUGGAUCUCAACCCCAUGGAAACCUGUUCCAAGU